rnacentral:rRNA from 1 species
GACGAACGCUGGCGACGUGCUUAACACAUGCAAGUCGAACGGAAAGGCCCUGCUUGCAGGGUACUCGAGUGGCGAACGGGUGAGUAACACGUGGGUGAUCUGCCCUGCACUUCGGGAUAAGCCUGGGAAACUGGGUCUAAUACCGGAUAGGAGCCAUUUUUAGUGUGAUGGUUGGAAAGUUUUUUCGGUGUAGGAUGAGCUCGCGGCCUAUCAGCUUGUUGGUGGGGUAAUGGCCUACCAAGGCGGCGACGGGUAGCCGGCCUGAGAGGGUGGACGGCCACAUUGGGACUGAGAUACGGCCCAGACUCCUACGGGAGGCAGCAGUGGGGAAUAUUGCACAAUGGGCGCAAGCCUGAUGCAGCGACGCCGCGUGGGGGAUGACGGCCUUCGGGUUGUAAACUCCUUUCGCUAGGGACGAAGCUUUUUGUGACGGUACCUAGAUAAGAAGCACCGGCUAACUACGUG